rnacentral:rRNA from 1 species
UUAGCAUGGAAUAAUGGAAUAGGACUUUAGUCCUAUUUUCGUUGGUUUAGGUACUUCAGUAAUGAUGAAUAGAAACGGUUAGGGGCAUUUGUAUUUGGUCGCUAGAGGUGAAAUUCUUGGAUUGACCGAAGACAAACUACUGCGAAAGCAUUUGACCCGGGACGUUUUCAUUGAUCAAGGUCUAAAGUUAAGGGAUCGAAGACGAUUAGAUACCGUCGUAGUCUUAACCACAAACUAUGCCGACUAGAGAUUGGGCGUGUUUAUUAUGACUCGCUCAGCAUCUUAGCGAAAGUAAAGUUUUUGGGUUCUGGGGGGAGUAUGGGACGCAAGGCUGAAACUUAAAGGAAUUGACGGAAGGGCACCACCAGGAGUGGAGCCUGCGGCUUAAUUUGACUCAACACGGGGAAACUCACCAGGUCCAGACGUAGUAAGGAUUGACAGAUUGAAAGCUCUUUCUAGAUUCUAUGGGUGGUGGUGCAUGGCCGUUCUUAGUUCGUGGAGUGAUUUGUCUGGUUAAUUCCGAUAACGAACGAGACCUUAUUCUGCUAAUUAGACAGGCUAACUCUUUCGGGUUGGUUUAUACUUAAUAUUUAACUGGCUUCUUAGAGAGACUAUCGGCUUCAAGCCGAAGGAAGUUUUAGGCAAUAACAGGUCUGUGAUGCCCUUAGAUGCUCUGGGCCGCACGCGCGCUACACUGAUGAAGUCAGCGAGUUUAUAACCUUGGGCCGGAAGGUCUGGGUAAACUUUUGAAACUUCAUCGUGCUGGGGAAAGAGCAUUGCAAU